UCCAAGGAAGGCAGCAGGCACGCAAAUUACCCACUCCCGGCACGGGGAGGUAGUGACAAAAAAUAACGAUACGGGACUCAUCCGAGGCCCCGUAAUCGGAAUGAGAACACUCUAAAUCCUUUAACGAAAAUCUAUUGGAAGGCAAGUCUGGUGCCAGCAGCUGCGGUAAUUCCAGCUCCAAUAGCGUAUAUNNNNNNNNNNNUUGGUUCUGCGUGCCACGCUGUCGGUUCACCGCCUGCCGGUGCAACUGGCAUGCCGUGGCAUGUCCUGUCGGUGGCGGAUAGGCCCCACAGACCGCCCUGUUCGGUUCAUCCCGUGCGGGUAGUGGUCUGCGGGUGUCCUUGUACGCCGGCUCAAUCCUACCGCGGUGCUCUUUACCGAGUGUCGAGGUAGGCCGACACUGUUUACUUUGAACAAAUUAGAGUGCUUAAAGCAGGCUCUUAAAUCAGCCUGAAUAGUGGUGCAUGGAAUAAUGGAACAGGACCUUGGUUCUAUUUUGUUGGUUUUCGGAAUCCAAGGUAAUGAUCAAUAAGGACAGGCGGGGCUUGGCAAAUGCUUUCGCNNNNNNNNNNNNNNNNNNNCGCAAGACGCACUAAAGCGAAAGCAUUUGCCAAGUAUGUCUUAAUUGAUCAAGAACGAAAGUUAGAGGCUCGAAGGCGAUCAGAUACCGCCCUAGUUCUAACCAUAAACGAUGCCAGCCAGCGAUCCGCCGACGUUCCUCCGAUGACUCGGCGGGGAGCUUUCCCCGGGAAACCAAAGCUUUUGGGUUCCGGGGGAAGUAUGGUUGCAAAGCUGAAACUUAAAGGAAUUGACGGAAGGGCACCACCAGGAGUGGAGCCUGCGGUUCAAUUUGACUCAACACGGGAAAGCUCACCAGGCCCGGACAUUGGAAGGAUUGACAGAUCGAUAGCUCUUUCUCGAUUCAUUGGGUAGUGGUGCAUGGCCGUUUGUAGUUGGUGGACUGAUUUGUCUGGUUAAUU
rnacentral:rRNA from 1 species